rnacentral:rRNA from 1 species
UACGGAGGGAGCUAGCGUUGUUCGGAAUUACUGGGCGUAAAGCGCGCGUAGGCGGCUUUGUAAGUUAGAGGUGAAAGCCCGGGGCUCAACCCCGGAAUUGCCUUUAAGACUGCAUCGCUUGAAUCCGGGAGAGGUGAGUGGAAUUCCGAGUGUAGAGGUGAAAUUCGUAGAUAUUCGGAAGAACACCAGUGGCGAAGGCGGCUCACUGGACCGGCAUUGACGCCUGAGGUGCGAAAGCGUGGGGAGCAAACAGG